CCUUCCUCCCUCGACCGCUUCGUUCGUUCUCUACAACGAAGCUUUCCCUUCCUCCCUCGUGCCUGGAUCCCCUUUAUCUCCGUCGUUCGGCCGCUUUUUCACCUGCUUUCUUCCUCAGGAAUCCUACUCCAGCAAGAGACCGUUGCCCUCGUCGUCGGUAUCUCCGGCGUCGGCGUCGGCGUCGGCGUCGUCUAGGGUUCCGACAAGGUCGGCGUCGUGUAGGGUUCCGUCAAGGUCAGCUCGUCUAGGUCCCCAUCAAGCUUCAUCAAGCUCGGCGUCGACAAGGUAAACGCGCCCAAAUUCCCCUGUUAUGGACCUUGCUCGGCGUCGACAAGGUCCAUCCCCGUACGUGUCGCUCUGCGGCGCCACUUGCACCGACACUCCCAUCUGGCUGUGUUCACCCCUUUGCCAGCGGCAGGUGCGACGGGCGGAGGCGGCGGCGACGGGGGGAGUGGAGCUCAUUUGGAUUGUAAAUCAGAAGCAUUCCGAGCUUGAUUGCCGCUUUGGAAGUCCAUCCUGCACAGGAGGGUAGGCGCAGACAUGAGGCUCGAGGGCUACUACCGCGUAUGGCCGGACCCGUGGACAAGCAGCGGUAGGGACAUACAUAGACUGAAAUAUGAACUCAACUGAACAUAUGUACUCUUGAAUCCGUGCAUAAUGUCAUGUGGAGCGUUUUUUUAUUUGAUUUGGAUGUUUCUGAUAUUAGACAAGGGGUUGUGCUCAGAGAUUUCGGAUUCAAGGGUAUGAUUCAACAUGUUGUUGUUAGGAGGUUGUGUGUUCUGGCACUUGGCCGUGGGAUUUCUAUUUUUGUUUCUUGAUGAUGAUAGGGUGGUUUGUGUAGGUUGACAUAGAAGUUUUUCUAUGUUUUAUAAAUGUUAUGUUUAUUUUAUGAAUUUUGUAGCAGCAACCUGGAUUAGUUCUGGAGACUUGUUAGCAUGUAUUAGGUUUUCUUCUAUUCAGCCGUUGGUAAGCAUGCAUCUAUUAACAUUUAGGUCGCUUGUCCAUAUUAUAGGCUAGAGUAGUU